rnacentral:tRNA from 2 species
UGGCACUAGCUAAAUUUAACUUGCGCACCGUCAUGGAGUGUCGGGGGCCGGAGGUUCAAAUCCUCUCGUGCCGACCA